rnacentral:miRNA from 1 species
GUGCAAAAGUAAUUGCGGUUUUUGCCAUUAUUUUAGUGGCAAAAACCGCAAUUACUUUUGCAUCAAUGUAAUA